AACCUAUUAGCUCAAAUGGUAGAGCACUGUGCAGAUGCAUAGGGGAUGUAAGUUCGAUUCCUACAUAGGUUG
rfam:Spinacia oleracea cultivar SynViroflay scaffold80367.con0002.1, whole genome shotgun sequence.